rnacentral:rRNA from 1 species
AAGCGCUUGCAAUCAGACUUGCAUGUAGUUGAUCAUCCGAUGUUCUCACCGGUGCACUCAAUUGCAUUCAGGCCAGUAUCGGUUCUGGUGGUUGGAUAAAGACCUUGAGAAUGUAGCUUCUUUCGGGGAGUGUUAUAGCUCUUGGUGCAAUGCAGCCUACCAGGACCGAGGACCGCGCUUUGGCUAGGAUGCUGGCGUAAUGGUUGUAAGCGA